GCCGGUCUCGUCGAGGAGUUCGACGAGCAGCGGUGCGAGCGCGGGCAGGUAGAGCGGGGUACCGACGAUGUCGGUGCGGGCCUCGACGACCGGUGC
rnacentral:tRNA from 1 species